rnacentral:lncRNA from 1 species
CGCUGAGGGACCGGCCUCCCCCGCCCGGCUGCCAGGUGCCUCCCGCCCCGCUGCCCCGCGGCCUGCUCGGCGCCAGGCCCCAGGUACCGGAGGGGGGGGAGCCUGAGGCGGCCCCGCUUCCCCUCGCCCCUGCUGCCGGGCACCCGCCUCAGGGCAGCGGCGGGCUCUGGGCCCCCGCGGGCUGCCUUACCGUCAGCCGGCCGCGGGGUUGCCUUCACGUCGUGACGGUCAUCUUGCCUUGCAGGUCUGGCGGAGGGACAGACGGCCGGAGGAGGGGGAUGCGCUGCCCGCCGCCUCUGAAAUCUGUCGCUCUCGGGCUUUCCUUAAUCACGCUUUUACCAAGAGGAGAGGAGGUUACUCCGUAUGUCAAUAAUUUAAGAUACUGGGUUUUGACACUUCACUGUUUUCCCGUGGGAGUGUUUGGAGAUAAGUCCACACGCCAACAGGUUUGAAAUGAGACAUAUUGCUCCUGGUUUGGAAGCAGCUCUUAGAGCUGGGGGUACAGUACAGCGAACGCCAAGGGCCCUGACCCACGGGCUAAUGCCAUCGUUGCCAAGACUCCUUGAGAUGCUGGUGGAUACUGGGUCAGGCCCUGGAGGUUAUCUGUCUUCUUCCAUUUAACUGCAGGCUCAGAGCAAGCCUGAGCAGCUUUUCCUGCAGUGAGCUUAAGCGUGGGAUCAGUGCAAACACAUAUGUUCUUGUGCCUUCGUUGGACCUGGAAAACCCGGUGGGAGGAUGUAUGCAACUUAGUCGUGAUUGCUGCAAGCUGUGAGCAUGACCAGGGACACUGCAGAGCUUCAAAACCUUGUUGAAGACUAUGCUAAAGUUAAUUACAUUGGAUAUACAGCUGAUUUACGGCAUGCUGAAAGCAUCCCUCCUGUAGAAGAUACAGAAGAGUAAACAAUGUGAACUGGAACUUUUUUUGAUGUUCAAGUUUAACACAUUGCUUCAUCCUAAAAUAAUCCAGGAAGUUUUGUUUGUUUUGGUUUUGUUUUGUUUUUUUUUUUGUUAGACUAAAGAUAUAAUACUGAUUUUCAGUAAUUAAAAAUCAUAAUGUGUAUGACAUUUACAAGUUCUAGAAGCUAAAUCAAGGUUUUGUCUACCACUUAUGUGGUAUCUAGUAGUGCAUGUCCUAUUAUUUAGCUUAAGGGGAAAAAAUGUGCUGGCAUUAUUUUUUUCCAUCUGUUCCAUAACCUCUGAUACUGAGCUUCUAAAAUGCUCAAAGCAGACUAAACAGGUCACAGUCAAAACAGUAAGGUUGCUUUUCAUGCAUUCUUUAAAUCAGAUCGUUUAAUUACAGUUUUUUCAUUUGUUUUCUAAUUAGAAAACAGGUCCACAAUGUGGUAUCUAUCUUCUUCCAUUUGAAUCAAUAAACAGAGAAGUCAUGAGAAAGGGACCUCUUCC